UACGUAGGGUCCGAGCGUUGUCCGGAAUUACUGGGCGUAAAGAGCUCGUAGGUGGUUUGUCGCGUUGUUCGUGAAAACUCACAGCUCAACUGUGGGCGUGCGGCGAUACGGGCAGACUGGAGUACUGCAGGGGAGACUGGAAUUCCUGGUGUAGCGGUGGAAUGCGCAGAUAUCAGGAGGAACACCGGUGGCGAAGGCGGGUCUCUGGCGAGUAACUGACGCU
rnacentral:rRNA from 1 species